GACGAACGCUGGCGGCGUGCCUAAUACAUGCAAGUUGAGCGAUGAAGAUUGGUGCUUGCACCAAUUUGAAGAGCAGCGAACGGGUGAGUAACGCGUGGGGAAUCUGCCUUUGAGCGGGGGACAACAUUUGGAAACGAAUGCUAAUACCGCAUAACAACUUUAAACAUAAGUUUUAAGUUUGAAAGAUGCAAUUGCAUCACUCAAAGAUGAUCCCGCGUUGUAUUAGCUAGUUGGUGAGGUAAAGGCUCACCAAGGCGAUGAUACAUAGCCGACCUGAGAGGGUGAUCGGCCACAUUGGGACUGCGACACGGCCCAAACUCCUACGGGAGGCAGCAGUAGGGAAUCUUCGGCAAGGGACGAAAGUCUGACCGAGCGACGCCGCGUGAGUGAAGAAGGUUUUCGGAUCGUAAAACUCUGUUGGUAGAGAAGAACGUUGGUGAGAGUGGAAAGCUCAUAAAGUGACGGUAACUACCCAGAAAGGGACGGCUAACUACGUG
rnacentral:rRNA from 1 species